GGACGAACGCUGGCGGCGUGCCUAACACAUGCAAGUCGAACGGGGUGAUUCCUUCGGGGAUCACUUAGUGGCGAACGGGUGAGUAACGCGUGAGAAACCUGCCUUCAGUGGGGGACAACAGUUGGAAACGACUGCUAAUACCGCAUAAUGUAUAUUGGGGGCAUCCCUGAUAUACCAAAGCUUUAUGUGCUGAAAGAUGGUCUCGCGUCUGAUUAGCUAGAUGGCGGGGUAACGGCCCACCAUGGCGACGAUCAGUAGCCGGUCUGAGAGGAUGAACGGCCACAUUGGGACUGAGAUACGGCCCAGACUCCUACGGGAGGCAGCAGUGGGGAAUAUUGGGCAAUGGGGGAAACCCUGACCCAGCAACGCCGCGUGAAGGAAGAAGGCCUUCGGGUUGUAAACUUCUUUUAGUAGGGACGAAUACGUAACGGUACCUACAGAAAAAGCAACGGCUAACUACGUG
rnacentral:rRNA from 1 species